rnacentral:misc_RNA from 1 species
AUGAGAUCUUCCAAGCAUGUGUCAAGGUCGAUCACUGGAUCUUCAUUAGCAUUGUCAGCACGGCGGAUCCAAACUUUGAUCCUGGAGUCAGGAAACCGUGAGCCUAUGUAGUUGAAAGCCUUCUUUAUCUCCUCUCUGGUGAGAAGUUUGUUGCGUUUGACGCCGAAUUGCAUAAAAGUUUUCUUUAACUGAUCUUCAGCAAAG